CUUAACAUCAUUCUCUGAAUUCUGACAAAACCCCGCCAAUAUCAUCCACCUUUUACGAAUGAAGAAACAGGGGUUUAGAGAAGUUAAAAGCUUGUCUGGUGGCACAGAUGUAAGGUUUGGUGAGCGACUGUCCCCUGGAAAUCGAUUCCAGAGCUUCUAUGCUUGGGGAACAAGACUGCUCCAUGUGCCACCUCCGAUCCAAGCCCCAACUUCUGCCAGGACUGAAGCUCCUUUGUUCAGAACCUCACCCCAUGUGUCUUUUCAUCUGGCUGCUGAUUCAGAUCCUUGAAUAAACUGGUAAGCAUAAGGAUAUAUGUGUAUAUUUCAUUUCAUCCCUCAAGGUCCAUUAAAUGCAGAUUCCAUCCACGAAGCUAAUAUUUUCUCAUAUUUUAUGAGCAUUUUUUCGACACUCAUGUUUUCAAAAACGCACUGGGGCUCAGCUGGAAACUGCACAAUGACAUGGAGCGCGGUGGGCGCUCAGCCUGCCUCCUGCUGGCCGAGGCGAGGUUGGUGUGAACAGGCCAAGGUGCGUGGCCAAUGCCUCCUACGUGACACACCUCUGUAAAAGAGUAAGGACGAAACACUCAACAAGUUGAGCCCUUCGGCCUCUGCGAGACUAUCACCGUGGCUCUGCAAACCUUG